rnacentral:rRNA from 1 species
UACGGGGGGAGCAAGCGUUGUUCGGAUUUACUGGGCGUAAAGGGCGCGUAGGCGGCCACCGCAAGUCGGUUGUGAAAUCUCCGGGCUUAACCCGGAAAGUUCAAUCGAUACUGCGGGGCUAGAGUGCAGAAGGGGCAACUGGAAUUCUCGGUGUAGCGGUGAAAUGCGUAGAUAUCGAGAGGAACACCUGCGGCGAAGGCGGGUUGCUGGGCUGACACUGACGCUGAGGCGCGAAAGCUAGGGGAGCGAACGGG